UACGUAGGGGGCUAGCGUUGUCCGGAAUCAUUGGGCGUAAAGAGCGUGUAGGCGGCCCGGUAAGUCCGCUGUAAAAGUCAAAGGCUCAACCUUUGAAUGUCAGUGGAUACUGCCGGGCUAGAGUCCGGAAGAGGCGAGUAGAAUUCCUGGUGUAGCGGUGAAAUGCGUAGAUAUCAGGAGGAAUACCGGUGGUGUAGACGGCUCUCUGGACCGCCACUGACGCUGAGACACGAAAGCGUGGGUAGCAAACAGG
rnacentral:rRNA from 1 species